GCCUUUGGUGAAGGGUGGUGUGAGCUGGGACUCUCCCUGGCUCAAAUGGAGAGCCUGGAGAAAAAGAAGGGAAAAGAAAAGAAGGGUUCUGGGAUUCAGACUUUGGGGAAGUGAGACAAUGAACAAGUCCUCUGAAGACCACGCUCAGCCACUAAACUAGAAAGCCAGCCUCUGCCAGAUGAGACCAACUCAGCACAGGACACCCGUGUCCCUCUGAUGACACUGUGGACACUCUAGCUAACACUGGGAGCUUAAGAGACUAGGGGAACUCAUUUAGGAAAACUAGCACAAGACAACCAUCAAGUCAUGUUCUUCAGGGUGCCUGAUGCAAGAGUUCUCAGGACUCAAGCCCAUGCUCACAGGAGACCGCUCACUUUGGCAUGUGGCACAGCUAUAUACUUCUCUCAAGACCAGGAACGGCGUGAAGACUUACAAAAGUACCAUGCAACCAUGGAUUAACUAUGUGCACUGAUUACCAUCUGUUUUUCUACACUGGUGUAAUGAUCCUCAGGACAUCUAUAGAAAAAAUCCACGUGAAAAGUUAAACUUGCCAACCGGGGCAACUUUAACUACAAGAUUUAUGUAUAAUAAAACUAUCUACUUAAACAUA